rnacentral:lncRNA from 1 species
AUGAGUCAGACUUACUGCUACUCUUUUAUCUUCUUUCACCCCAACAGGGAACUUAAAAACCAAUCAAUCAGCAUAGUUGUUGCCUUACUGCCAGAAUUGGAGAGAAAUGCUAUAUUUAGGAGAAUCUGUACAAAAAAUCAAAAAAAUGUGUCACUUCAUGAGGAUGAGAACAAUGUCUCACGCUCCCACCAUAUCGCCAUGGGAACUACUCACAUUCUAGCGAUACUAAGAAGGAAGAAAAGUUCAUUUCUCAAUUGCUAAGCAGAAUGAAAAAAACAGGAGGUGAGAUCCUAAUAUUGGGGGCUCUGAGGAUAUGAAAGGUUUAGGUACUAGGACCCUGCCUUUGAGUGACUUAUCAUUUCAAUUGGAUAAAUAACAAACAUAUACACAAACAAAGAGCAUGCACACAGGCCAGUAUGGAAACAAGUGUGAGUUACUCUCUAACUGAACCCUGGUGAUUGCAGCAAUAGUGCUCUCCUAGCACCAACCGUCCAGCUCGCUGGGUAGGAACAAAGAUGCAAUUGUGUGACUGUGUCAGGAAAGUUGGUCAGAGGAGAGAUAGCCAUAUCCACCCACAAAGGAUGUUAUCUUGCAUUCUUUGGCAAGACAUUUAACUAACUGCCUGGCCAGUGGAGUGCAGAAUAGUAAAAUUAGGCAUUGACAAAUGUUUGCAGUUUUGAGGAAGACUUGUUCCUAAACUUCUUGGGAUUGGCCUCUGCUCAGUCCUGUGUCUCAGCGACCAUCCUAUGGGAUGUCAUAUGGCUACAGUCAGGAAACCCUUACAACUCAGAUUCUCACAUGGAGAAAAUUGUGUGAAGAACAAGAUGUGUCUAAACAGCAAGAGAGAUACUGGUUCCCAUUAGUUGGCUCAGGUGUGGAACUGAAUGGCUAGAGAAAAGACAUUAGCAAAAAAAAAAGAAAAGAAAAGACAUUAGCAAAAGAAGAGUUUUCAUUUUUCUUUACUCUUUGAAUUUUAAACCACAGGAAUGGUUUCAUUGACUCAAAAACAAAAUAAGAGGAAAUGAACAACAGCAAAAAACUCUGCAAAAGUGUUAAUAAACCUAUCAACAUAAUUAAUUGUCUUCCUGAC